GGUGAGUGAAUAUUUGAACAGUCAGCGCCAAUUUAGACGAGAUCGAAAAGGACAGAUUGGAUUGCAUGAUAUGUUUGGGUCAACUUCUAAAAACUGAACUAGCUAUUGCAAACGCAGCUGUUCUAAAUCGAAGUGAAAACACACUAACAUAACAGAACCAAAGGAAACAAAGGAAGUUAAAUAAAGCUUUUAAUAUGAAGACGAAGUUGAAUUUACUCCGCGAAAUAGUUCAGAACUGACAAAUAAAAACCACAUAAAACUGUGUGAAAACUUUGAAGGUAUUUAUUUGAAAAAGUGAAUGCCACAUUGGGCGAAGUUUUUUUCAUGUCUCCACUGCGCCAACGCCAAUAAAAUAAAUAAAAACGCA